AUUUAUUUAAUACAAAAAAAAGUAUACUUGACUUCCAAUCAAGAAAUUUGUGAAAACAAAAUAAAUA
rnacentral:tRNA from 1 species